CAAACAAAUCUGGAUAUUUGCACAAGAUAUUACUCAUUUUUCUGGACAGGCUGACAGUUCAUUAGCAGCAUUGUUUUCUUUGCAGAAUUCCUUCUUUACAAUUCCAGACUUGAAAACAGAAUUUUUUUUGUGGAGGCGAUUUCUUCCAAUUUCUCACCUGCUGGCGUUUGUAUGUAUUUUUGACAGUCAAGUAGACUCCUCCCAUGGGGUUACAGUCUUGCAAGCCCUGCUCCUCUUGCCUACAAAGUAAGGCGGAAUGCAAACUGGCUUGUGGCUGCUCUGGUGUGUCUGAGGAAUGGAGAUAUUGCUCUGACCGCUGCUGUGACAUCUGCUGCCAGAUGUGUGUGGACGUGUGUUUUGGCUGGUGUUCAGGAGACUGCAGCUACACCUUCUGCACACUCUGCUUCAGCCUGGCACAGAGCUGCAUCCUUCUCUUUACCACUCAAGAAAGUGAAACAUCAGAGGCACAGUAAACUUCUGUGGGCUCACAACAGCUUGCCUAUCGCAACUGAACAUCUGAAAGGAAGCAUAAGAACAGAAGAUGCUUGAAAACAAUCCACCUCUACAUCAGACCAAACGUCUUUACCAGGAGCUCAGGAUUAUCAGCAUCCCCAAAGGCGGAGCAAAAGCCCAAUGAACAGCAGUGAUAUUCUGCUAUCUGAUGAAGGUGGUAUUUUGUUCAGAGAGCGUCCCAGGAUCGUACAUGUGUGACGGCAGAUACCACGCAGAGGACUUUUAUCAUCUUGUCUCCAGUUUAAUAACCGCCGCUCAUUUUAUGAAGAUGGAUUUGUGUCUUCUGUGUCCAGGUGUUUGGAUUGCAAAUGACUUUUGAAGUUUGAGAAUGAACUGUAUUGAGCUGCACUUCAUUUAAAACUUUUAAAAUGGUAGAUUCACUGUUCGAAAGAAACAGAAAAAAGGCAAGGGCUUGAGUUUGUUGUUUAUCAUCCUUUUAUAAAGCCUGUCUUUCUGAACUAUAAAAUGCAACUUUAGUCCUCUCAAUGAUAGCAAAUAUUUUGUUUUUUCACAUUGAUAUCAUCCUCCUUUUUAACAUUACGUACCAUAGAAAUGAUAAACUAUUUGGAUAUUUACUGAUUUUAAUGUUUUACACACUUUUUCAAAGCAGAACAAGAAACAUAAACAGUUAGUCUUCGUAUUAUUUUUUUAAAAGUAAAAUAAUCUUAAUAUAGUAAAUAAAAAAGUAAAAGUGGGCUAAUUCCAACUAACACCUCAUGUCCACUGGAUCUGUUUUUUUUUAUUUUGUUAACAUCUCACUCAAUAUUUUUCCUGCAGUGUGGACAUCUACAGAUGAAUAAAACAUGUAUUGAUUCACACAUAGCUGAAUGGAGGCUCACAGCAUGGUAACAGUAGAAAAAAAACCUUCGGUUCGACCCCAAAUGACAGAGGAUCUACCUGAAAAACGAGUAGACGGAAGAAAAUUUAAGAUUUAGAGGGGAUUUUUUUUUUCCUGACUUUCAGUUGCCUUUCAUCUCCUUUUUUUUCCCCUUAUCUCUUUGUGUUGGAGCAGAUUUCUCUCACCUCUCUACCUGCGUAUGUUCCCCUCUCAUGAAUUGCAUUGCCUUCACUGAAUGUCUGGUUAGGAGUGGAGGUACACAUUGUGCACUGCUGUCAGUCAAGUAGAUUACAGCUCUGGAGGAUCCUGAUUGUUCCCCCACCAGAAAUGAGGAGAUGGCUCCUAACUUUGUAAGCCAGGUACAUCCAAAGAUGUCUGUUUUUUCUACAUCUCUGGGGGUUUGUGAUACCAAAAAAAAA